CGCUGGCGGCAUGCCUAAUACAUGCAAGUCGAACGCUGAAGCACUCUGCUUGCAGAGUGCGGAUGAGUGGCGAACGGGUGAGUAACACGUGGGAAAUCUGCCUAGGAGUGGGGGAUAACAUUCGGAAACGGAUGCUAAUACCGCAUAUCUUUUUGAACCGCAUGGUUCUUAAACGAAAGACGGCUUCGGCUGUCGCUCUUAGAUGAUCCCGCGGCGUAUUAGUUAGUUGGUGGGGUAAAGGCCUACCAAGACCAUGAUACGUAGCCGACCUGAGAGGGUGAUCGGCCACACUGGGACUGAGACACGGCCCAGACUCCUACGGGAGGCAGCAGUAGGGAAUCUUCCACAAUGGGUGAAAACCUGAUGGAGCAAUGCCGCGUGAAUGAAGAAGGUCUUCGGAUCGUAAAGUUCUGUUAUUAGAGAAGAACAAGUCAAGGAGUAACUGUCUUGACUUUGACGGUACCUAACCAGAAAGUCACGGCUAACUACGUG
rnacentral:rRNA from 1 species